rnacentral:rRNA from 1 species
GAUGAACGCUGGCGGCGUGCCUAAUACAUGCAAGUCGAGCGAACAGACGAGGAGCUUGCUCCUCUGACGUUAGCGGCGGACGGGUGAGUAACACGUGGAUAACCUACCUAUAAGACUGGGAUAACUUCGGGAAACCGGAGCUAAUACCGGAUAAUAUAUUGAACCGCAGGGUUCAAUAGUGAAAGACGGUUUUGCUGUCAGUUAUAGAGGGAUCCGCGCCGGAUUGGCUAGUAGGUAAGGUAACGGCUUACCACGGCUACCAGGCGUGGGCGACCUGACAGGGUGGUCGGCCACCCUGGAGCGGAGACACGGUCCAGGCGCCUACGGGAGGCAGCAGUAGGGAAUCUUCCGCAAUGGGCGAAAGCCUUGCGGAGCAACGCCACGUGAGUGAUGAAGGUCUUCGGAUCGUAAAACUCUGUUAUUAGGUAAGAACAAAUUUGUAAGUAACUAUGCACGUCUUGACGGUACCUAAUCAGAAAGCCACGGCUAACUACGUG